rnacentral:rRNA from 1 species
AUUGAACGCUGGCGGCAGGCCUAACACAUGCAAGUCGAACGAGUGGCGGACGGGUGAGUAAUGUCUGGGAACCUGGCUGAUGUAGCGGGAUAAGUACUGGAAACGGUAGCUAAUAGCGCUUACCAUGCGAUGUGCCCAGAUGGGAUUAGCUAGUUGGUGGGGUAACGGCUCACCAAGGCGACGAGCCCUAGCUGGUCUGAGAGGAUGACCAGCCACACUGGAACUGAGACACGGGCCAGACGCCUACGGGAGGCAGCAGUGGGGAAUAUUGCACAAUGGGCGCAAGCCUGAUGCAGCCAUGCCGCGUGUAUGAAGAAGGCCUUCGGGUUGUAAAGUACUUUCAGCGGGGAGACGUUACCCGCAGAAGAAGCACCGGCUAACUCCGUGCCAGCAGCCGCGGUAAUAC